AAAAAUGUGGUUUUAAUUUAAGGUUAGGCAUAAGGUUAUCUGUGUGGUUAAGGUUAGGUUUAAAAUAACAUUUUAAGAAGACACAUUGUAGAAAUAGGCGGGAUUUAUGACUGUGCUUAUUUAUGUAUGUAUGUGAUGUGGUUAGGAAACUAGCAACAUAUUAGAAAUGCAAGGAACGCCUCCUUAAUGAACAUGUUGCAAACCAUAAAACAGAUUUACAAAUAAUUUCAAGAAGUGAACAAGAAAAGCAAGUUGUGUGCACUGGCACUUAUUUUUUUUGUAGCUAGUGUACUCAAUGGUCGUGGUGUCGAGAUAAAGUAGCUGAAUAUUGUCUCGCGGCAAAGCGAGGAAAGAACGUUGCGUAGUUGCUAGUAAGCGAGAAGACUUACCAAAAUGUCAGAUUCAUACUCAGGUCCAGAGUUUGUGGACUACGAUGAUAUCAGACACGGGGCAAAAUUUAUCUAUGUCAAAAACAGCCCCUUUGUAGCCCUGCAACCUCCAGAUGAUAAAUAUGAGCGAUGGAAUAAAAUCCCUGUCAGUUUGAAAAAGAAAGCGGCACAGUUGAUGCAUGUAUCUGCCUUUUGGUAUCACAUUCUGUUUUGUCGAGAGAAUCACAACACCACAUGCUGGGCUGUGCAAGUGGGCUUCCUAGAUUCAAAUUAUUAGAAGAUCAGACAAGGCAUAUGAUCUGGAUAAGCAAUACAUUUAACUUGAGCAACAUGGUUUCUUGCCCCUCUAUUUUCUAUUAAGGAAGUAUCCACGCAGCAAGGUAAUUAUUCAUAAGAAUACAAUAAUGUUCUCUUCAUGCCUGGGAAAUGGGGCACAAUGCUCCUUAGUGUUUGUGGAAGCCAAAGGGUAGGGUGCCCAUCUUCAUUGGUUAAGAACUCCUCAGGAAUCUAUUUAUACCCUGCUGACCUGGUAUAUACCCAGGAGAAAAGGAAACCAGAAUGUCCUGUUUGGUGGUGGUAAAUUUGAAUCGCUGCUUUCAUUGGAGUCAUUCGUCAACCUGAUUUGUCACAUGGAAUAUCUAGCAACUUGAUGUGCAUGAAUUUCCCAUUAUCACCCAUUGCCAUUUGGUGUGUUGUCCCUAGCGCUGGGCGAUAUGGCCAAAAUAUAAUAAUGCCAUCAUUCUGAAAAAUAGUGAUAUUUUACAUUUCUUAAUAGUAAAAGUUAAAAAUAGGCUUAGUAUGUAGCACAUGACCUUAACAUGGCAUCAAAUUAAUAGUAAGUGGUUUUAAUGGGCUUUCUUCACUCUGUCAGUUUGGUCAAAACAAAAUCAAAGUAUUCUUAUUUAACACUAUCAAAAUACCUUUUAUAGUGGGUAUUGUAGAAUUUCAUACCGGUAUGUGGAUCCAUACCGGUAUACCUUAGAAUACAAUAUAUCGCCCAGCCCUAAUUGUCUUAUGACGAUGGUAAGGACUAAAUCAGUGUUUUGUUGAUUGAUAACUUUCUGGUCAGCAUGUGCUCGAGGUCCUGGAUGACACGAUAUGCUGGCUGGAGCAGACAGGAGAGCCCCGCAUCAAGCAGCAGGUUCAGGAGCUGGGCCCCAGAGGGAACUGCUUUGCUGCUCUUCAACUCAUCUUCGCUGAGUAUGCUCACUAUACACAGGCCAUGGGAGUCAGUAGAAAAAAAUGUAUGUGAGAGGUUGCACAGGGCCCGUGCCAGUGGUUUGAGGUACUUUUCCCCUUAUUUCCUUGGAAAAGUGAAGAGAUGAAGGCUAAAGGAAGUGAUCAGUUUCAGAAAAAGAAGUAUGAUGCAGCAGUCAAGUAUUACUCAAAAGCCAUCAAAUAUCAGUAAGUGCUAUUUUUUUUGUUUUAAAGGCCAAAUGCAGUCACAUGUGAUUGUCCUGUUUUUAUAUCUCUCUCUCUCUAUCUAGAAGUUUGAUGUAGAGCUUGGAUCAAUCAGAACCUCCCCUAAUUGCCGUCUACAGGAUUGGUAUUCUUAGUUGACUUUUUCCACAUUUUGUUACAUUACAGCCUUAUUCUAAAAUAGAUUACAUGUAAAAAAAAAAUAUAUAUAUAUAUAUAUAUAUCUCACCAAAUUCUCCCGGCUGUACCCGGGGUCCCUUGCCAUCCAAGAUCUCCUCCCAAGUCCAGGAGUCUUAAACCCGCUGCUCCUGGGUACCACGCUGCUUGGUCCGGUUGUGGUGGGGGUUUCUGUAACUCUCGUCCUCUUCUUCUAACGAGGAGUCGCAAGGAUUGGACCAAAGCGCAGAGUGGUCUACCAGACAGAGUUGCUGGAGGAGCUGGGCACGGAUUUGGCCGCAGUAGAGCCCCAUGGGUGGCACACCCUUGCUACAUAUUCGUCGCCAGACCCACUGGCUCCAGGUCAUCUACAAGUCCAUGCUAGUUGUCUGCUGCCUGUGAUUGGAACGAAUUGCAAAAAUCGCUGAAGUUGGAGACUUUUGUCUCCCUCACCAACUUCAAACAUCUGCUAUCUGAGCAGCUAACCGAUCGCUGCAGCUGUACAUAGUCUAUCGGUCCUUUGGGGGCCACCUUCCUGAAGGCCGACACGGAAGUGCUCCGCCGGCUAAGUGAGAUGCCCGGGGGACCGAGCCGGGCACCAGGUCAGACCAGCCUGGUUCCCAGGCGCAAUGCCUGUCUGCCUGGUACAAGCGCGGCGUUGCUUCCAGGGGCGAAGUGAGAGAUGGUCCUGCCACAGCGCAUCUAGCUCGGUGUGGCACGGCAUUGGGUCCUGCCUUGUCAGCUGCCCCAAACAUCUGUGGUGACAACAGUACUCCCAUGACCUAUCGGGGUACAUCACAGAUGGCCGAAGCCCCCCCGAACCCAGAGUGGACCAGGAUUCAAACAAACAUUUGCACCGAAAUACAUUGUUUCAACCCCAUUGUUUUCAGGUUUCAGGAGUUUUGUGAGUUCAAUAAAACAUGUCCCUCCACAUUCAGACAAGGUUUUCAAGAGUGGUGGAGGUAAAAAAAAAAAAAAAAUCUCCCAGUCAUGCUCCCUCAGA